rnacentral:rRNA from 1 species
AUUGAACGCUGGCGGCAUGCCUUACACAUGCAAGUCGAACGGUAGGGGGGCUACCCCUGAGAGUGGCGAACGGGUGAGUAACGCAUCGGAACGUGCCCAGUUGUGGGGGAUAACGUAGCGAAAGCUACGCUAAUACCGCAUACGACCUGAGGGUGAAAGGGGGGGAUCGCAAGACCUCUCGCAAUUGGAGCGGCCGAUGUCAGAUUAGCUAGUUGGUGGGGUAAAAGCCUACCAAGGCGACGAACUGUAGCUGGUCUGAGAGGACGACCAGCCCCACUGGGACUGAGACACGGCCCAGACUCCUACGGGAGGCAGCAGUGGGGAAUUUUGGACAAUGGACGCAAGUCUGAUCCAGCCAUGCCGCGUGCAGGAAGAAGGCCUUCGGGUUGUAAACUGCUUUUGUCAGGGAAGAAAUCCCUUGGGAUAAUACCUCGGGGGGAUGACGGUACCUGAAGAAUAAGCACCGGCUAACUACGUGCCAGCAGCCGCGGUAAUAC